rnacentral:rRNA from 1 species
UUCGCAAUGCCCGAAAGGGUGACGAAGCGACGCCGCGUGUGGGAAGAAGGCCUUCGGGUUGUAAACCACUGUCGGGAGUUAAGAAAUGUAAGGGUGUUAAUAGCAUCCUUACUUGACUAAGGCUCCGGAGGAAGCCACGGCUAACUCUGUGCCAGCAGCCGCGGUAAUACAGAGGCGGCAAGCGUUGUUCGGAAUUAUUGGGCGUAAAGAGCACGUAGGCGGCCGUGUAAGUCGGUUGUGAAAGCCUUCCGCUUAACGGAAGAACAGCAGCCGAUACUGCAUAGCUUGAGUGCGGAAGGGGAGAGUGGAACUUCUGGUGGAGCGGUGAAAUGCGUAGAUAUCAGAAGGAACGCCGGCGGCGAAAGCGGCUCUCUGGUCCGUAACUGACGCUGAGUGUGCGAAAGCUAGGGGAGCAAACGGGAUUAGAUACCCCGGUAGUCCUAGCCGUAAACGAUGGGCACUAAGUAGAGGGGUUUU